rnacentral:rRNA from 1 species
CCUACGGGCGGCAGCAGUGGGGAAUAUUGCACAGUGGGCGCAAGCCUGAUGCAGCCAUGCCGCGUGUGUGAAGAAGGCCUUCGGGUUGUAAAGCACUUUCAGCGGGGAGGAAGGCGGUGAGGUUAAUAACCUCAUCGAUUGACGUUACCCGCAGAAGAAGCACCGGCUAACUCCGUGCCAGCAGCCGCGGUAAUACGGAGGGUGCAAGCGUUAAUCGGAAUUACUGGGCGUAAAGCGCACGCAGGCGGUCUGUCAAGUCGGACGUGAAAUCCCCGGGCUCAACCUGGGAACUGCAUUCGAAACUGGCAGGCUAGAGUCUUGUAGAGGGGGGUAGAAUUCCAGGUGUAGCGGUGAAAUGCGUAGAGAUCUGGAGGAAUACCGGUGGCGAAGGCGGCCCCCUGGACAAAGACUGACGCUCAGGUGCGAAAGCGUGGGGAGCAAACAGGAUUAGAUACCCCGGUAGUC